rnacentral:rRNA from 1 species
GGUCCAGACUUUGAUUAUGGCUCAGGAUGAACGCUAGCUACAGGCUUAACACAUGCAAGUCGAGGGGAAACGACAUCGAAAGCUUGCUUUUGAUGGGCGUCGACCGGCGCACGGGUGAGUAACGCGUAUCCAACCUGCCCAUCACUUGGGGAUAACCUUGCGAAAGUAAGACUAAUACCCAAUGACGUCUCUAGAAGACAUCUGAAAGAGAUUAAAGAUUUAUCGGUGAUGGAUGGGGAUGCGUCUGAUUAGCUUGUUGGCGGGGUAACGGCCCACCAAGGCAACGAUCAGUAGGGGUUCUGAGAGGAAGGUCCCCCACAUUGGAACUGAGACACGGUCCAAACUCCUACGGGAGGCAGCAGUGAGGAAUAUUGGUCAAUGGGCGAGAGCCUGAACCAGCCAAGUAGCGUGCAGGAUGACGGCCCUAUGGGUUGUAAACUGCUUUUAUAAGG